ACCACCUGGGGAUCUUGUUGAACUGCAGAUCCUGGUUCAGUAGGUUUGGGCAGGGUCUGAGGUUCUGCAUUUCUAAAGAGCUCUCAGGUGAUGCCAA
rnacentral:pre_miRNA from 1 species